rnacentral:rRNA from 1 species
UACGUAGGGGGCAAGCGUUAUCCGGAUUUACUGGGUGUAAAGCGAGCGCAGGUGGUUUAUUAAGUCUGGUGUAAAAGGCAGUGGCUCAACCAUUGUAUGCAUUGGAAACUGGUAGACUUGAGUGCAGGAGAGGAGAGUGGAAUUCCAUGUGUAGCGGUGAAAUGCGUAGAUAUAUGGAGGAACACCGGUGGCGAAAGCGGCUCUCUGGCCUGUAACUGACACUGAGGCUCGAAAGCGUGGGGAGCAAACAGG